GAGGGACUAAAGGAGGAAAUGGGGGAAAGUUAAGAAAUUAAAAAGAAAAUCAACACACACCACACACACUUCAGUGUGUGUGGGUGUCGCCUGGAACAAAGAAGCAAGAGCCAAAAACCCUCAACAUCAUAAAUUCAGUAAAUUGAAAGGGAAUCCAGGGCCUAAAUCAUUGCAUGUGCACAUAGAAACAUUCAACUAAGUUAGUCUAUCGAAUGGAGUAAAAGAAGAAGACACAAGCCAUUCCGGAUCACAAU